AUGGCAACAGCCCGAGUUGGUUAAGGCGAAAGAUUAGAAAUCUCUUUUGGGCCUUGCCUGCGCAGGUUCGAGUCUCGAUUUGUCGUU
rnacentral:tRNA from 1 species